rnacentral:rRNA from 1 species
CCCUUAGAUGUUCUGGGCCGCACGCGCGCUACACUGACGAAUGCAACGAGCUUAUAACCUUGGCCGAAAGGCCUGGGUAAUCUUUGAACGUGGAUCGUGAUGGGGAUAGAUGAUUGCAAUUAUUCAUCUUCAACGAGGAAUUCCUAGUAAACGCAAGUCAUCAGCUUGCAUUGAUUACGUCCCUGCCCUUUGUACACACCGCCCGUCGCACCUACCGAUUGAAUGGUCCGGUGAAAUCUUCGGAUCUGAGAGAUGUCUGAUUAAUUUCGGACGCCUUUUGGAAAAGUUGUUUAAACCUUACCAUUUAGAGGAAGGUGAAGUCGUAACA